CACAGCAAAUUGACCAGAGUUAAAUUUCUGGUGUUGAUAAAGAUAGAGUCAAUCGAACUCUAUUUGGAAUUGAUUUAAAUCUGUAUGUUGUUAAAUCUGUUUGAUUUCACACUGCACCACAAAAGAGUUGGUGUCAAAAUGGAGUGUUAUUACUGUUAUUGUAAAACCAACUCUAUGGGUCGUCAGUCUCUCAGCUCGGGUGUAAGGAGUGACUACCCUCUGGCAUCGCGCGAACAAUAAUCUCGUGAGAGCAACAAUCUGGCGGGAUUCAAGUAAUUUACCUGCACAACUCAACUGGAACGCAACGAGCAGCACAACGUUUUCGAGGACAGUUUGUUCAAAAUUGAAGAAAACGUGUUGCAUUGUGUCGGUAAGUAACAGUUAAUUAGAUAACCUAAUGAGUGCUAUUAUUAUAUACAGAUGGACAUAUAUUUAGACAUUAGUAAUAUAUUUAUAGCCGCUGUAAUGUAGGUUAACUGUUAUGCUGCCGCCUUUACUACAGCAAGGCUAAUGUCAGCUAGCUAGCAACCGUAACCUACGCCCAGAGCGGACAAACUACUGUACGGUAACUGGCAAGCUAACGUUGGCAAGCUAAUGUUAGCAAGAGUUUGUUUCUUCUACUUUCACACGUUUUCUGAUUACUGGUCUAUUGAGUCUGACUGUGAGCAAAAUAGAAUUCCUGUUGAGUGUUUAAAGUUUGGCAAUGUAACGUUAAGUUACGUGACGGUACUUUAGUAAUGCUAACAUUCUUUCAAAUAAAUAAAUGCUAGUUAGCUGGCUAGCUAAGAGCCAGAACCGGUUCCCACGUCUUAGCUGCAUGGAAGCAAAUAUUCUCAUACGAGGACUGGGUAUAUGUAUAUCUAAAUUACAUUUUGAUUAUCAGAAGUGUCUGUAGUUAAUAUGAAGUUACUAUCGGAAAGUUAAUCUGAAGGACUCCUUUCUCAAAUACGUUUUACUGUGCUUAUAGUUACUCAACGCGCAGGGCUCAAGUUUUGAAGAGGGGGGGGGGGGCUGAACGCUACGGCUGACCGGGCGUGGACACUACGUGCAGCGGUUACGGUUACAGACACCGUCGGGAAGGUUGGAGGGGAGCCAGCGCGGACUUUUUUUUCAGCAUCUGGAUGUUGAGCUGGUUGCAGAUCAAGCAUCCUCCUCCGUAUUGACAUCGCUGUCCCCAACUUCAUCCCAUUCAUCCUUGGUAGUGGCACAGACUGCACUAUCCCCAGCUUUAUCCCAUUCAUCUGAUUCCACCGUUAUUCUGGAGUCCACAAGAAAAAGGAGGAACCCAACAGGGUUAAUGGACCAGAAUGAAGCAAAACAGAUGGUUGAGGGUGUUCUGAGGGCCAAUCCAAAGGAUGAAGAAGUCUUCAAUGAGUAUGAUAAGACUAAAAUACUAACUGAUGCAACCCGUAAACAAAUGGUGAACAUCCUGGUUGCAGAUAUGAUAGAGCUACAUGGGAGGGUUCCACCGUCAAGUGUAAGGACCAAUUAUGCACUGGGAAUUGUGACUCUUUUUCCAUACCUCCGUGAUCCAUUCUCCAAACUUGGAUAUGAACACUACUAUGAUCCUGAGGGUAAUACUGGCUUAAUUUCAUGGAGGAUCAAGACGGUUCAACGCAACACCUUUGCUGACUUGCAGGGUCGUUCCAAGACCGUUCUUCAGGAUGGUCCAAAAACCAGGCGAGAAUCUCUGUCAACCUGCCAACAGCUAUUUGGUGAGGAGUGCAGGGAGGCGAUAUCUACAAUAAGACAUUCCAGCGAUGCAUCUGUGGUCAAAGAGAAGACGAGAGCGACUUUCCAGUAUCGACAGAAGAUGGUUGGGGAUGAUGCAUCAUCUUCAGUCCUGGAUGUGUUCCCUCGUUUUCUUGAUGUACCUGGAUUGGUAAGAAAACUUUUUUGCUUUGGUUGUAGUUGUCCAGUGUAGAACAGUAAUAUAGUCCAGUGCAGGACAAUAUAAUAUUUUUCGGAACUAUACUAUAAUCUCUUUAAUCUUCUUUUCAAUCUUCCAUUUCAGUAUUGACCUUUCAUUAAUUUUGUAAUGUAUGCUUGAACCUGUAUAUUAAAAUAUUGUUUUCCUUGUUUGUAGAUUCUCAAUGAUGUUUGGUGACGAAGUGUCUCAGAAGUUCCUGUCCAAGUGGUCAACUUUCUUCAAGCCAAACAUCACAGACUGCAAGACUGCAAAGAAUAUGGAUGAGUUGCUGUCAGCAACUGAAUCUGAGUCUGAAGAUAACAAUGGAUGGGACAGUGAUAUGUCUUCAAUCCUUUUACUGCUGCAUCUACUCCCUCCAACUUCAAGGGGCCA